CCCUAUGGGGUGCCGGUCGGACAGGAGCUCGGCCGUUACAGCUUCAGGAACAACGUGGAUGAGUACAAGGAAGACGGGUCAUGCAUGAUUGUUGUCAUGACCGAUGCACCUCUGACUUCAAGGAACCUUAAGAGGCUUGGUUCCAGGGCUUUUGCCGGCAUGAUGCGGACAGGAGCAUCCGGCUCCAACGGCAGCGGCGAUUAUGUAAUCGCCGUAUCCACGGCUGAGGAACUGCGUAUCCCCUACUCUUCCGGAUCGAUAUACGAGGAUUGGCGGGAGGGC
rnacentral:rRNA from 1 species